GAUGAACGCUGGCGGCGUGCCUAACACAUGCAAGUCGAGCGAUUUACUUCGGUAAAGAGCGGCGGACGGGUGAGUAACGCGUGGGUAAUCUGCCCUGUACACACGGAUAACAUACCGAAAGGUAUGCUAAUACGAGAUAAUAUACUUUUAUCGCAUGGUAGAAGUAUCAAAGCUCCGGCGGUACAGGAUGGACCCGCGUCUGAUUAGCUAGUUGGUAAGGUAACGGCUUACCAAGGCGACGAUCAGUAGCCGACCUGAGAGGGUGAUCGGCCACAUUGGAACUGAGACACGGUCCAAACUCCUACGGGAGGCAGCAGUGGGGAAUAUUGCACAAUGGGCGAAAGCCUGAUGCAGCAACGCCGCGUGAGCGAUGAAGGCCUGGUCGUAAAGACUCUGUCCUCAA
rnacentral:rRNA from 1 species